CCAAACUUCUACACAGAAUUAUCAAAUUCACUAGAUAUGCAAAUUUAUUUAAGAUUCACAAAAAUGCUACUUCUACAUUUCUUUUUUUUUAUUCUGUUUGUUUUAUCUAAAUUCUAAUACAUGUACUAGGGCUUGGUGUGGCCAUCCAAAUGCUGAAGUACCAGCUUAACAAGGUGAGCCUUUGAUCAUGUUCUUGCAUAGGGAGCUACAUAUGAGACAUGAAUUUGAAAUGUUUUUGUGUCAUAUGAUAUUUUAUGGUGUUUGUAAACUCUUUUCUCGCUUACAUGUACAUCAUGCCAUGCUUUGUUUGAUGGCCCUGGACUGAUUUUGUCUUGUAAACAAGGAGGAUGCCCAACGAGGGAACGUCAGUGGUGGGUAAGAAGUGGCUUCCACUAGCAGCUCCCAUGAGAUCAAUUCUGACAGCAUAACAAAAUGGAUCUUCAAAGUGCUUCAAUGUGAAGGAUAUUAUCCAAAGGCAUCCCCGUGGGAAAGAAAUAGUAUAACACAAACUCGACGAUAACGACAGAAACCAGAUGCCUUCUGACAACUAUUGUGUUUGCGGAAAUGGUCAAGAUUUUCACCUAGCGAGAUAGCACUGUUCUCAUUCAUCAUGGCAAUAUACAUGGUUCCAGCUCAAACAGCAAGAAGGAAGAGUUCACUGGCAGACUCCAUGGGAUACUUUUUGGUGACUAGACCAAUCAGUACAAGUGUGGAAUCCCACCUGGCUGAAGAGAUGAAUGACAAGAAGCGGAGACAACCAUACCUUUUGGGCAUAGGAGAUCACAACAACUCAUCUCAGUUUUUCAUUGUUGUGGAUGAUCUAGCUAUCCCCUGCGAAGGUGACAUCACAGAGGCUGUUGACAAACUGUUUAAGGUCCAAUUCUUGUUCAACAUCCACUAUGCAGAUGAAGUCUAUGGAUUUUUUCUGGGGAUUUUUUGCAUUCAUACAGAACUUUGUUUACGGCAUAAGUGGACAAGAAGCAGUUCCAGCCCAUGCCAGAGAAAUGAUGGCAAGCAUCACUGCCUUGGAAGUGACUGCAAACAAAUGACUGACUUCAGUAUUGCCUGUCCUCAACGAGCAUAAUUAACUCAAAAGGGUGUGGAGGUCACAUGGUAGGAUCAAAGAUCAUUUGUAUUCAUGAAGUGCUGGCUGAUAUUUUUUUUUCUGUUCCCACUUGGAACAUUCUUCCCUGCUUAAGUUGAUAGAGGAUGUUCACUUUUUAAAUGUACACAAUUCCAUAAUCAAUGGAAGAUCACUGUUGAAUAAAUUUGGGUUUAUUCAUCCUCGAAUAUUCCAGGAUAUUCUCAUAUUUUUUAAAAGAAAAAAAUCUUGGUCAGUAAUGUAUAUGUUAAAUAAAUUUACCUUGAACACAUCUCUUACAGUGCAUAUAUAUAAAAAAAUUAACCCUUUUGAAAAUAAUUUUCACAAUCACAUUUCAAAAUAUGGAGAUGAUUUUUUUUUAAUGGCUUUUGGUACUCUAUAGUCUCUUCUAUCAAAUGCUGCUUGAGCGAGCGGUGACCAUUUUUGUCCAGAGUGUCAAAAAGUGCUUUGUGCCAAAAUUGAAAGAAAAGGAAAAAUUAAUUCAGCAGUCUGAUUAGGAUUCAUACUCAAAUCACUUGCUCUUUUGCAUACAUUUAUGAUCAUUUCAGAAAUGGAUAACUUUCCUAACCUUGGAAGAAUGGGGGGGGGGGUGUUUAAU